CUUGAACGCUGGCGGCAGGCCUAACACAUGCAAGUCGAACGAGUGGCGGACGGGUGAGUAAUGUCUGGGAAACUGCCUGAUGGAGGGGGAUAACUACUGGAAACGGUAGCUAAUACCGCAUACCCUCAGAUGUGCCCAGAUGGGAUUAGCUUGUUGGUGGGGUAACGGCUCACCAAGGCGACGAUCCCUAGCUGUCCUGAGAGGAUGACCAGGCAAACGGGAACUGAGACACGGCCCAGACUCCUACGGGAGGCAGCAGUGGGGAAUCUUGCACAAUGGGCGCAAGUCUUAUGCAGCCAUGCCGCGUGUAUGAAGAAGGUCUUCGGGUUGUAAAGUACUGUCAGCGGAGAGGCGUUAUCUGCCAAAGAAGCCACGGCUAACUCCGUGCCAGCAGCCGCGGUAAUAC
rnacentral:rRNA from 1 species